UGCAAGUCGAACGGCAGCACGAGAGAGCUUGCUCUCUUGGUGGCGAGUGGCGGACGGGUGAGGAAUACAUCGGAAUCUACCUUUUGGUGGGGGAUAACGUAGGGAAACUUACGCUAAUACCGCAUACGCCCUUCGGGGGAAAGCCGGGGACCUUCGGGCCUGGCGCUGAUAGAUGAGCCGAUGUCGGAUUAGCUAGUUGGUGAGGUAAUGGCUCACCAAGGCGACGAUCCGUAGCUGGUCUGAGAGGAUGAUCAGCCACACUGGAACUGAGACACGGUCCAGACUCCUACGGGAGGCAGCAGUGGGGAAUAUUGGACAAUGGGCGCAAGCCUGAUCCAGCCAUACCGCGUGGGUGAAGAAGGCCUUCGGGUUGUAAAGCCCUUUUGUUGGGAAAGAAAAGCAAUCGGUUAAUACCCGGUUGUUCUGACGGUACCCAAAGAAUAAGCACCGGCUAACUUCGUGCCAGCAGCCGCGGUAAUACGAAGGGUGCAAGCGUUACUCGGAAUUACUGGGCGUAAAGCGUGCGUAGGUGGUGGUUUAAGUCCGUUGUGAAAGCCCUGGGCUCAACCUGGGAAUUGCAGUGGAUACUGGGUCACUAGAGUGUGGUAGAGGAUAGUGGAAUUUCCGGU
rnacentral:rRNA from 1 species